rnacentral:rRNA from 1 species
UACGUAGGGUGCGAGCGUUGUCCGGAAUUAUUGGGCGUAAAGAGCUCGUAGGCGGCUUGUCGCGUCGGAUGUGAAAGUCCGGGGCUUAACUCCGGGUCUGCAUUCGAUACGGGCAGGCUAGAGUUCGGUAGGGGAGAUCGGAAUUCCUGGUGUAGCGGUGAAAUGCGCAGAUAUCAGGAGGAACACCGGUGGCGAAGGCGGAUCUCUGGGCCGAUACUGACGCUGAGGAGCGAAAGCGUGGGGAGCGAACAGG